AAGAUGUUUAGUAAAUAUUAAGUAAAUUAAAUUGUUUGUUUUUUAAGUAUUAGUAGUAUAGAAUAAAUGUUUUUUAAGUACUGUAAGGGAAAUAAAAUGUAAUAGUGUUUUUAAUUAGUGUUUAGUAGAAAUUUAUUUUUGUACCUUUUGUAUAAUGGGUUAAUGAUAGAUUUUGUUUUAUUAUAUUUUCUCGAAGCGAGAGGAUUUACUUAGCGGGUAAGAGUGUGUUAACGUUGUAUAGUUAUACAUUGAUCGUUAAGUGGUAGUGAUAUGUUUAUCGUUUUUCGUGAUAGCUAGUUUAUUAGUUAGAAAUAUUUAAGUAUUAUUGUAUUAAUAUAGAGUGUUAUAUAUCUAUUUUAAUAUUAGCCUAUUAUAUGGGGGAUAAGCUUCAUAUAAUAUUUUAGAAUUUUGUGUAUGUAUAAAGUAAUUUAAGUAGAAUUAAAAAUGUUUUUCUUUAAAAGUAGUUUAAAUUAAGAAUAUGUAUUAUUAGUUUCGUUUUGUAAUUAAUAAAUGUUUAUAAAUUGUUUAUAAAUAAAUAUAAUGUUAGUAUGAGUAUUGUUUGUAAAUAAUAUAUUUAUUGAGUGUAUAAUUGAAUAUAGUAAAUGUAUAUAAGGAAAUAGUUAAAUAAAAUAAAGGAAUUCGGCAAAUAUUAAUCUCGCCUGUUUAUCAAAAACAUCUCUCUUUGUUGAGUAAUAUAUAAAGAGUUGGGCCUGCUCGGUGGACAUAAAGUUUUAACAGCUGCGGUAUUUUAACUGUACUAAGGUAGCAUAAUAAUUUGCCUUAUAAUUUGAGGCUAGAAUGAAUGGUUUGACGAAGGUUAAUCUGUCUCUAUUUUAUUUUUUAGAAUUUAAUUUUAAAGUGAAAAAGCUUUAAUUUUUUAAAGGGACGAGAAGACCCUAUUGAGCUUAUAAUUUUAUUGAUAUUAUAUAUAUUUAUUUAUGUAAUGUUAUAUAAAUUUUAGUUGGGGUGAUUAAGGAAUAAAAGUGGUUGUAACUUCCUUAGGAUUAAUGUUGUUAGAUAAAGUAACCAAUUUUUUAUUGCUUUUAUUAUAGUUACCAUAGGGAUAACAGCGUAAUUUAUUUAGAGAGUUCUUAUUGAAAAAUAGGAUUGCGACCUCGAUGUUGGAUUAAAGUGACCUUAAGGUGAAGAAGCUUUAAUAUAGGUAAAUCUGUUCGAUUUUUAAAACUUUACAUGAUCUGAGUUCAGACCGGCGUGAGCCAGGUUGGUUUCUAUCUUUUAAAAUGGGAGUUGCUUCUUUUAGUACGAAAGGACCGAGGAAAGCUAAAAGUUUAUUAUUAUAAUA
rnacentral:rRNA from 1 species